rnacentral:rRNA from 1 species
CUACGGGGUGCUGCAGUGAGGAAUAUUGCACAAUGGGGGAAACCCUGAUGCAGCAACGCCGCGUGGAGGAUGACGCAUUUCGGUGUGUAAACUCCUUUUAUGAGUCAAGAAAAUGACGGUAGCUCAUGAAUAAGCACCGGCUAACUCCGUGCCAGCAGCCGCGGUAAUACGGAGGGUGCAAGCGUUAUUCGGAAUCACUGGGCGUAAAGGACGCGUAGGCGGGAUGUCAAGUCAGGUGUGAAAUCCUAUGGCUCAACCAUAGAACUGCACUUGAAACUGGCAACCUAGAGUAUGGGAGGGGGAGAUGGAAUUAGUGGUGUAGGGGUAAAAUCCGUAGAUAUCACUAGGAAUACCGAAAGCGAAGGCGAUCUCCUGGAACAUUACUGACGCUAAGGCGUGAAAGCGUGGGGAGCAAACAGGAUUAGAUACCCCAGUAGUC